AUUGAACGCUGGCGGCAGGCCUAACACAUGCAAGUCGAACGGUAACAGGAAGCAGCUUGCUGCUUUGCUGACGAGUGGCGGACGGGUGAGUAAUGUCUGGGAAACUGCCUGAUGGAGGGGGAUAACUACUGGAAACGGUAGCUAAUACCGCAUAACGUCGCAAGACCAAAGAGGGGGGCCUAGGGUCCUCUGUCCGUGGUGGUUUCCCGGAUGGGAUUAGUUAGUAGGUGGGGUAACGGCUCACCUAGGCGGCGAUCCCUAGCUGGUCUGAGGGGAUGACCAGCCACACUGGGACUGAGACACGGUCCAGACUCCUACGGGAGGCAGCAGUGGGGAAUAUUGCACAAUGGGCGCAAGCCUGAUGCAGCCAUGCCGCGUGUAUGAAGAAGGCCUUCGGGUUGUAAAGUACUUUCAGCGGGGAGGAAGGGAGUAAAGUUAAUACCUUUGCUGAUUGACGUUACCCGCAGAAGAAGCACCGGCUAACUCCGUG
rnacentral:rRNA from 1 species